GCUGUAAAUGAUGACAACUGGCUCCCUCUACUGAGUCUAGUGAGGAAAUUGCCAUGUCACCAAUUCUGACUACAGC
rnacentral:snoRNA from 15 species